UACGUAGGCGGAUGAUUAAGUCAGGGUGAAAUCCCGGGGCUCAACCUCGGAACUGCCUUUGAUACUGGUCGUCUUGAGUCCGGGAGAGGUGAGUGGAACUCCUAGUGUAGAGGUGAAAUUCGUAGAUAUUAGGAAGAACACCAGUGGCGAAGGCGGCUCACUGGCCCGGAACUGACGCUGAGGUACGAAAGCGUGGGGAGCAAACA
rnacentral:rRNA from 1 species